rnacentral:tRNA from 1 species
GGGAGUGUAGCUCAUUGGUGGAGCACUUGCCUGCCAUAAGCAAGGCCCUGGUUUCGAUCCUCAGCAUCACA